rnacentral:rRNA from 1 species
GACUACCGGGGUAUCUAAUCCUGUUUGCUACCCACGCUUUCGUGCCUCAGCGUCAGUUGUGGUCCAGGAAGCCGUCUACACCACCGGUGUUCCUCCUGAUAUCUACGCAUUUCACCGCUACACCAGGAAUUCCGCUUCCCUCUCCCACACUCAAGCCCGCCAGUUUUCGGCGCACCCUCCCAGUUAAGCCGGGAGAUUUCACACCGAACUUGGCGAACCGCCUACGCACUCUUUACGCCCAGUAACUCCGAACAACGUUUGCUGCCUACGUAUUACCGCGGCUGCUGGCACGUAGUUAGCCGCAGCUUCUUCUCCAGGUACCGUCAUUAUCGUCCCUGUCGAAAGAGCUUUACACCCCGAAGGGCUUCAUCGCUCACGCGGCGUCGCUGCAUCAGGGUUUCCCCCAUUGUGCAAGAUUCCCCACUGCUGCCCCCCGUAGG